rnacentral:rRNA from 1 species
GAUGAACGCUGGCGGCGUGCCUAAUACAUGCAAGUCGAGCGAAUGGAUUAAGAGCUUGCUCUUAUGAAGUUAGCGGCGGACGGGUGAGUAACACGUGGGUAACCUGCCCAUAAGACUGGGAUAACUCCGGGAAACCGGGGCUAAUACCGGACAACAUUUUGAACCGCAUGGUUCGAAAUUGAAAGGCGGCUUCGGCUGUCACUUAUGGAUGGACCCGCGUCGCUUUAGCUAGUUGGUGAGGUAACGGCUCACCAAGGCAACGAUGCGUAGCCGACCGUGAAGGGUGAGCGGCCACACUGGGACUGAACCACGGCCCAGCCUCCUACGGGAGGCAGCAGUAGAGAAUCUUCCGCAAUGGACGAAAGUCUGACGGAGCAACGCCGCGUGAGUGAUGAAGGCUUUCGGGUCGUAAAACUCUGUUGUUAGGGAAGAACAAGUGCUAGUUGAAUAAGCUGGCACCUUGACGGUACCUAACCAGAAAGCCACGGCUAACUACGUGCCAGCCGCCGCUGUAA